GUUCCCUGGCAAGCCCCGAUGAUAGUUUGAGGGUUUAUUACUGAAAAGGGGAGGAUUUAUUUUGAGAGCAGGUAGCAAGGGAGAAUCUCAGGAAAAAAAAAAUGGUGAAAGUCUUCUACUUCUACUUUGGAGCAACAAAAAUGAAUGAAACAGGGGCUGGCACUUCAGCUCAGUGAGUGAAAGCCCUGGCCUGCAGUGCCAGCAUCCCAUGUGAGUUCCACUUCCAAUCUAGCUCCCUGCUAAUGCACCUGGGAAAGCAGUGCAGGAUGCACUUAUGUGAGACACCUGAAAGAAGAUCCUGGCUCCUGGCUUCAGCCUGGCUCAGGCCUGCCUGUUGCAGCCUUUGGGGAGUGAACCAGUGGACAGAAGACCAAUCAAUCAAUCAAUCAAUAUCUCUCUCCUCCCCCAACUCUGCCUUUCAAAUAAAUAAAUUUAUUUAAAAAAAUGAAUGAAACAGAUAUGAGAAAAAAGUCACAGGUAAAGGCUGCAGAAGAUUCCUUUGGGGGCUAAGCUCCUGACUCUGUCAUCCACUGAAUUCCAGGCCUCUCCCUGCCCUUGGACCCUUGAGAUAUUCCUUUUGUGACAUAGUAAAGACUCCUCUUCAGUUUGAACUAAGCUCAAGUGAUUUUUGCUGCUGAAACCAGAAAUCUUUGAUAUGCACACUCUUUAUGAUCUUAGUGACAUUGAUCUUUCCUUUCCCAGUGCUGAAGAAAAAUGAUGUUGCUAUCCCACCUCAGAGAAUAACAUUGCUUGUCUUAUUCAUGCGAGAAGAUGAGGGGGAUACUUAUAAUGCAGCAACAGAAGUGCAACCAACAUGCGGGCAAUCAGUGGAAGAAAGAAGCUCAGUCUUACAUCCUCAGACCGAAACGCACCAAUGCAGUGAGUGUGGGAUUAGACAUCAGACCAGUUAUGACUCUCAGUAAUACCUGGGGCUAAAAUAGGAACACAGGGAAAAGAGCAGAGGCAUCAAAAGUACUUCUCAUGCUGAAUGUUUACAUCAAUCAUUAAUUAUCUGUCAUAAAAUCUCAACUGUGUUCAUCACUCUCUAAUGCUUUCCAAAGUCGUAUUCCUUUUUUCUAGUUUCAUGUUUAUUUUCUCCAGCGGUUGGCUAUAGAGGGGAAGCUAUUCUGCGAUGGGCAGAAGUAAAACUCAAUUUUUUAAAUUUUAAGCAGUUACAUUCAUUAAUGAAAAAUAAAUAUUAGAAAAUAAUCUCA
rnacentral:lncRNA from 1 species